rnacentral:misc_RNA from 1 species
UCCAAGUGGUUCCGAAAGGGACGCUGAUAAAAGCAAUGGACAUCAUGGAUACGUGGAAGCGCGGACGGAUAAUCUAUGCUUAUCUCAUAUGGGUCGUCUUCAAGGCUGCCACGGCGGGGGGGCUUUACGAUGCCAUGAAUUCGCUGGUGGAGGAGGUGGUCGUGGAGGCGGGGAAGACCGUCACGCUGGGCUGUCCGGGUGUGACGGAGGAUUCGCUGGUGCUGAUGCUCGAGUGGCGAGCGAACGGGAUGCGGCUGCUCGAGUAUAAGAGCAGAAGCACGACCGUCGUGCGGCACUAUCAGAACAGAAUGUCCCUGUCGUUGAAAAAUUAUUCGCUGCAGCUGCAUCCCGUCACCGCCGGCGACAGCGGUAUGUACGAGUGUCUCGUGAACAACCGGAAUGCGCCGGAAGCUGUGAUCAAGCUCAUCGUACGAGAUGUGCCCGAUCCACCGGAACGACCACUCGUCAUAAAUUACACGUCCAAGGCUGUGAAUAUAUCGUGGGCACCUGGUGUUAAUUCCCACAAUACUCCAAUUACGCAGUACGUCAUCUACACCCGCAUCGGGGAAAACGGUGCAUGGAACGGAACGAAGGAGAUCAUAACGCCGCACAACGAAACGUUUUACACCGUCGAGAAUCUAAGGCCGUUCACGGUGUACAGUUUCCGAGUGGCGGCGAUAAAUGCAUUAGGACGCAGCAAGGCCAGUCAAGCAUCCUACUAUAUGGUGACUCUUCGUGAAAUCCCAGAAGGAAAACCGACCAUCACCGCAGCUCAUAAUACCUCGGCGACGUCUAUUUAUCUGGCAUGGAAACCGCCGAAUCGUGACACCAUACACGGCGAGUUCCUCGGGUAUCGCAUAGGAUACCGACGACGCGAAAAAGCGGAUGAAGAAAUGAAAAAUAUUUAUAUCCGCGAUCCUGCUGUCGACAAUCACAGUAUUCACAAUUUGGAUACCUUUACGCAGUACCUUGUCUCCUUGCAAAUAUUCAACCCCGAGGGUCACGGACCGGCUUCGACUGUAACAGUGAUGACCGACGAAGGCGCUCCGACGAAGCCGGAGAAUCUCACCUCACGAGGAAUCACGGGCACCACCAUCGAACUCUCGUGGGCGGAGCCUGAGAACGCCAACGGUGUUAUCGCCGGAUAUCGCGUUUACUAUAUGCAUUCCAAUUAUACGGACGUGAAAAUGCAUCUGCCCGACAAAUCGGCGGACUCCUACGACCCGAACAUCGAUUUCGUCCUGAAAGAAUUGCAACCGCACACCGAAUAUAAGAUUUGGGUGAAGGCUUACACGCGGAAGAACGAGGGCGAGCCCUCGGAUCAAAUCAUCCGCAGGACCGACAUAGUAGGACCGAGUGCACCUCUGAUCUUGAAUUUAACUUGCCAUUCCGACGAAUCGGUCUACGUUCACUGGGCCAGGCCGGCCACCUUUUCCGAGUCGAUCGAUUACUAUUACAUCCACUAUCGAAAGGAAAAUGGAAGGACUUACGAGGAAGUGGAGCUACCAGCUGAGAAGAAUCAUCUCGAGAGCUCGACGCAUAUACCCAAUCUGACGAUGAACACCAUUUACGAGGUUGUGGUGCGGGGAGCCACCAAAAGCACAAUAGACAGCCGGCCUAUUCUAGGCGAGAGCUCCAUACCGGCGAAGGUGUUAGUCACCCGUGAUUGCGACAAGUUAUCGCCGAUGAGUAGCAAGAGCAGCAAAGAGCUGAGCGCGGGAGUGAUCGCCGGGAUGGUCUGCGCCUGCUUCGCCGUGAUGCUGGCGAUCAUGUCCUUCGUGCUGUGGAAACCGAUCUUUAGGAAAUGCUUCAACACUGCCUACUACUAUCUGGAUUAUCCGCCGCGAAAUGUUCCAACUCUUCAAGAAUGGGAGAACAGCGAGCAAGACGGCGAGCGGACCGCCGUCGCCGUCCAACAAUUCGUUCAACAUGUCGCGAGCCUACACGCCGACGGGGACAUCGGUUUCAGCAAAGAAUACGAGCUGAUACAGUCCGAAACCGGCGACUACACCGUGGAGAAUUCACAGUUCGCCGAGAAUAAGGCCAAGAACAGAUACCUGAAUAUACUCGCAUACGACCAUACGCGUGUACAAUUAUUGUCCUGCGGCGGCGGACCUCCGCGAAAGGGGCAGGAUUACGUUAAUGCGAAUUACAUCGAUGGUUGGCAAAGGGCGCGAGCUUAUAUCGGUACUCAGGGUCCGCUUCCUCCAACUUUCGAUGGCUUCUGGCGGAUGGUUUGGGAGCAGCGUGUAUCAAUAGUCGUAAUGAUCACCAAUCUGGUCGAACGCGGUCGUAGGAAAUGUGAUAUGUACUGGCCCAAGGAAGGUACCGAAACGUACGGUUAUAUUCAGGUAACUUUAGUGAGAGAGGACAUUAUGGCGACGUACACCAUCCGUACUCUCCAAAUUCGACAUUUAAAGCAGAUCAAGAAAAAGAAAAAUGGGACCAAUGUGGGUGAACGUACUAUAUGGCAGUAUCACUAUACCGGCUGGCCUGACCACGGCGUGCCCGAUCACCCAUUACCCGUUCUGAGCUUUAUCCGUAAAUCGUCCAAUGCUAAUCCGCCCGACGCUGGGCCCAUCGUGGUCCACUGCAGUGCCGGCGUCGGACGUACCGGAACAUACAUUGUAAUCGACGCCAUGCUGAAACAAGCUAAGGCCAAGAACGAGAUUAAUGUAUUCGGUUUCCUCAAGCACAUCCGCACCCAGAGGAACUUCUUGGUUCAGACGGAAGAGCAGUACAUUUUCAUUCACGAUGCUCUGCAAGAGGCAAUCGAAAGCGGGGAGACCAAUAUCGACUCUAAUAAUUUAAUGCAGCACGUUCAAGACAUGCUGUGCCCAUCGAAUAACAAGACUGAUGCGUGGAACAACAUCGAAGCUCAAUAUAAGUUGGUAACGUCAUGGAAACCUAAGGACUUCAACCUUGUGUCCGCUACCAAAGCUUGCAACAUUCACAAGAAUCGUAACAUGGAUAUUAUUCCUAUUGAAAACUCGCGCGUUCAUCUGACGCCGAAACCCGGCGUCGACGGAAGCGAUUACAUAAAUGCAACCUGGGUUUCAGGUUUCCAGCGCAAUCGUGAAUUUAUCAUAACGCAGCAUCCGAUGGAAAACACUAUAAUGGAGUUCUGGCAAAUGAUGUGGGACCACAAUGCGCAGACCAUUGUCAUGCUGACUCAAUGCGACGAGGAAUAUCCGGAGUUUUGGCCCAUCGAAGGAAAGGAUCUGGAAUCCGAAACGUUCCGAGUGCGACUCUGCGGAACGAAAGAGACUGUAAACGGAACUAUUCUACUCGAAGUUGCAGUUCGGUCGUUGCAAGAUGAUUAUGAGCUUAGCGCUAGAAUCGUUCAAGCGCCAGCAAACCAGAAUGGUCUGUGGCCGCACAACAACAAUCCGAAAACUUUUGUUAAUAUAAUCCAGGACUUUCAUCGGGAUUAUCAGAAUGGUCCUAUCGUCGUGAUGGACAGGUAUGGCGGAGUCGAAGCUGCGCUUUUCGUUUUGUUGACCACCUUAAACAAACAACUGGAGUUCGAGCAAAGCGCCGACAUCUACAUGUUCGCAAAGUUACUUUAUAUGAAGCGACCUGGUGUUUUCCACUCAAAGGAGGAUUACGUGUUGCUGUACCAGUGCUUGGAAUCCAUGCUGUCGAUGAAGGGCCGCGCAGAGCCUGAUCUGUACGCCAUGGCGAAUGGACACGUCGCUACGCUGAACGAUCCGAACGAGAUCAGGUCGGCCUCAUCGAUUCAGCAUAUGUCGCUAGAUUAUCCAUCUAAGUCAUCCGUCAUUCGCGAAUACGCGACUGUAGAAGUCAGUUCGGAAUACAUCUCCGACUAUACCAUACCCAUACGCGUGGAUCACCCGAUCGAGUCGUCCAGCAGCCGUGGGAGCGAACCCUGCCUCUCCUCCCACGGCGGCAGCAACGAUCACGUAGUACCGGAGAAAAGCAUGGUGGUGUCGCAAAGAAACAUUAGCUACCAUAAUCACCCACCAUCCGGCGUAUCCGUAAUGGUCGAUGCUAAUGGUUAUAUCACAAAUGGCAGCAUGCGCGUACCCUCCGACAGUAUGGAGCCCAGUUGCAAGAUGAUGCCGCAAUGAUGCCGGCCUAUCUUCGGUUGCAGCGCACCUUCGCGACGGUCGGCCCCGCUGUAAUCGCACCUUUUUCCGCAAGUUUUAUCUCGACCUGUGACGGAUCCUCGCGUUCGCGCGACGGAGGUGAUAGUUUGUAUCCAAGGAAGAGAGCUGAAGGAUCUUUAAGCGGACUUCUUAGUGUACAUAGAGCUACGUGAAUGUUAAACGUGCGGGGGAAAGAAUUUUGAUAAAGGGACCUUCUUCUCGGCGCGAGAGCGGACAGUGCCAAACAAACAGACAGAAUUGCCGUCGAUGCACGCCGGGUGGGUGAUGCUUAUCUUAUCCGUCGCGUAAGUUUAUGUUGUUCUCAAUCACUGUAUAUAUUAUAUAUUGCUACAUAACACACACGCGCGCGCAGGCACAUAUGCG